rnacentral:lncRNA from 1 species
AUAAUUCUAACGAAAAAUCGUAGCUUCUUUAUCGUUGUAUGUAACAGAUUAUCUACAAACUAAAUUCAAUCAGCGUACAGGAGGUUCAUGUCUAUCCUGUUACCGCUACUUAAAUCAGUCGUUAAAUUAUUCUCCCUAUGAAUAUUGAAUCAGUCAGUGUUGAUUUCAAAAAUGCAAAGUAAUCUUUACAUUUAAAACGCCUCGUUUCUUGAACGACA